rnacentral:rRNA from 1 species
UACGGAGGGUGCAAGCGUUUAAUCGGAAUUACUGGGCGUAAAGCGUGCGUAGGCGGUUCGUUAAGUCUGUUGUGAAAGCCCCGGGCUCAACCUGGGAAUGGCAAUGGAUACUGGCGAGCUAGAGUGUGUCAGAGGAUGGUGGAAUUCCCGGUGUAGCGGUGAAAUGCGUAGAGAUCGGGAGGAACAUCAGUGGCGAAGGCGGCCAUCUGGGACAACACUGACGCUGAGGCACGAAAGCGCGGGGAGCGAACGGG